AUGAGUUCCUCUGGACGAUUUUCUCAAGCAAAUGAAAUCGGCGGCUUCUCCAUUCAGGAUUUCCACCCGUUGGUUACAGAGCUGGAAAUAGGGGAGUUCCCAUCCUCCUCGCGCUGCGUGCGAUUGCGGCCGCUCCUCUUUAUUCUACUCUCUGCGGAGGCCCGCGCCCGUCCCGGGAGGCGCCUCUGCCCGGAAGGCGGCCCGACCAGUGCCCCGCGCCUGGUCCGCGUCCUAGCCCACCUUCGCCCCUCGUCGUCGUCUCCCAGACGAAAGCCCCGAAUGGGAACGCUGAGUGUUUGUACCCACUGCGCCGCAGCUGGUCCCGGCACUUGCAAAAUGUGGCUCUUGAGUCCCGGGUGAAUUCUCAUUAACUUGCAAGAUUCCUGCAACAACAGCUACCCUUCUCCAGAGGCCACCCUGACUGCUUUUAUUCUUUUUAUUUCUUUAUUUUGUAUUUUUAAAAAUGCUAAAACAAAUCCGUUGUCCUGAGUCCUUGAAUUUUUGCCCAGUAAAUAUUAGACCAGUAGAGCUCAGAGUCCACUAAUACAGGUGACAAGUGGAUCUAAUAUGGGGGGGGGGUGGCAGGAAGGAAAAAACACUUUAGGUAUUUAUCUUUAGGCCUUUCACAUUUAAAAAAAAAUUUAGUAUCUUAAAUAGAUAUGUGGACUAAGCAAUCAGAAGCAUAUUUUGAAUCACUCUCAUAAGUGAUAUACCUCACAGGAACACUAUUAAAAGUUUAUCUAGUGGCAUCAGAGAUAGAGGGUAAUUCCAAGUUGGGAGGUCUAGAUUGCGUUGUAUGUUAGUGAAAUGUUUCCUAGAAGAUUCUGGAAGUAUAGUUGAUCCUGGGAUGGUCAUUCAUUCAAAAGUAAGCUGGUUCUAUAGAGUUCACUUUUUCUUAUGGUUAAAACUUAAUUCACAAUUUCAGAAUUCUUUUUAGUAGCUCUUUCAUCUGAAAAAGUCACCUCUUCUCCUCUAAGCCUCAUUCAAGUACUUUUGGAACUAUAAAGCCUUCUUCUUUCCUUGACUACUCAAGUUAAAACAGUCUGUCUCUCUACGCUCCUCUGCAGAAGUGCCUUUCAACCAUUUUUUUUAACCUUGUCUCAUAGUAAAGCAUAUACGUUAACUUCAUACAGCUGUCCUCCAAAAAUGUUAUGAAAAAAUAUAUUUUACUGCAUGGAAUACACACUGAUAUCUACCCCAUUUUCUCCUAUUAUUAUUAUCAUUAGUAUUACUACUACUAUUACUACUCUUUGGUAAUAGUAGUAACUCAAUAAAUGGUCCUAACCCAAUAAAUUUAUAAAGCA
rnacentral:lncRNA from 1 species